ACCACCCUAAUUUGAAUACAUUACAUCAGCUUCAUGCAUAUCAUUCUAUUUAGCCUUGUCAUUUGAUGUUUCACUAAUAUGUUGUUUUCUCUGUCUCCACAGGGAUAAGAGGCAUGUUGGUGGUGAUCCAGUCUCCUCAUAAUGUAACAGUAACAGAGGGGGACACUGUUCAGAUCCAGUGCUGCUGGAAUCAACAUGUGUCAAGAGUGACGGUUAAUUGGCAUAAAAAAGAAGGACUCACCGAGAUAAAAUAUAAGAGUGUUCUGGUCAACAACAGUCAGUGUCGUGACAGGGCAUCUCAGCAGACUGUAGCCUGUAACUGCUCAAAUUGGACCAUCUCAAACCUCACUAGAAAUUACUCGGGUACUUACAUCUGUAAAGUUUCUUUAGAGAUCCCAUCUCUUAUUGAAUCCGUGGGGAAUGGGACACGGAUAACAGUUACAUCCCAAAACACGACAAACAAUGAUUCCUCAGAAGAAAAACUGCUCCACCAGCUGCCUAUCAUGAUUCCACUUGCUGUCCUGCUACUGUUCCUCCUCCCUCUCAUCUGCCUGUACAGGGCAUGGAAAAGACACCAAGGUGGUGCCCCAGACAGAACAGUCAGGGUGAUCCACGAGGCUCCCAACCAUGAGGACGAGGAGUUGAAGAUGGAGGAGCUGGAAGAGGCGGCCAACCAGAGCUCUUCCUCCUCCUCCAGAGGAUCCACCCAAUGGUGUCAAGUCCAGGUGUAUGAAUCACUUGAUUACUUGGCUUUACCAACCCAAGACAAAGGUUAA
rnacentral:lncRNA from 1 species